AAUGGCUUUACUGGGAGCACCCCUCUUCCUCCACCCUCCUCUUCCUUGCAAUCCCCAGCUUUCCCCGGAGUGGGGUGGGGUGGAGGGGGUGGACUUAAUGAAACCAAAUGGAAACAUUCCAUUUGUAACAACAAAUAUUUUCCACCAGGACUUUUCUUACACUUAAAUGAACGACCUUGGAAUCCCUGGAAAUGGCUGUAGAGGAGGAGGCGGGGUUUCCCUUCUAGGAGUUUUGAAUUUUGCAGAAAGAUGGGCCCCUAGAGGCUGCCCAUGUGCUCCCUUAGCCCCGGCUGCCCCUUCAGGUGAGUCCCACCUACUGCCCCAUCUGCCUCAUCUCCCCUGUACCCAUACCUCUUGGCUCUGUGGGCCAGACCUCAUCCCUCGGAAACCUCCAGGGGAGAACAAAGGGCUCCUCCAACUCUGGCCAGGAAAGUCAGGAAAGGAUGCAUCUGUCUACCUUUGGAGCCCUCGAUUCAAAGACCCACCUGCCUGGAAGGGGCUGGAGAGGUGUGGAGAUGGGAGUUCCAAGUGCCAAGGGUCACCCGGUGCGGAGGCCUGAAUAAUAUUCCAUUUUAUGGAUUUACCACAUUUUGUUGAUCUGUUCACCUGUUGGGGACACUCGGGUCGCUUCCACCUUUUGGCUGUUGUGAACGAUGCUGCCGAGAACAUGAGUGCGCAAGUAUUUCUUCCAGAGCCUGCUUUCGAUUCCUUUGGGCAUGUACCUAGAGAUGGAAUCGCGGGGUCAUAGGCUCAUUCUAUUUUUACUUUUUUGAGGAGCUGCCACACUGUUUCCUGUAAUGGCCACAUCAUUUCACAUCCCCACUAACUUAGUGCACAAGAGUUCCAGUCUCUCAUCUUCACCAUCAUUCUUUUCUCCUCUUUCUUUUUCUGGGAGGAUAUGAGGUGGUCCUUUCACAGCUGGUAAAUUGAGGCCCAGAGAGGGUAGGGACUUUUCUGGAGGCCUCUGUGGGUCUGUGGUGCGUGUGCUCAGGGAAUCCACACUCCCAGCCUCUUUUGUUCCCGACUUAGGGCCUUGUCUUCCUGCAGGGAGUUUCAUGCCCCUCCUGAGACCUCAGCCUCUGAGCUGACCUGCAGCUGCAGGUGACGAUUCCUGGCAAGGUGUCCUUGGUUCACUCCAGCACCUGCCUCUGGACGCAUCCCUGCCCAGCCUGCUCAGGAACAUGCCAGGCAGUCUGUGUCAGCAGGUGACACCCUCAGCCACCAGGGGCCCGAGUGGGCCCAUGUGAGGGUCCUCAGUGGCUGAGCCCCACUUGCCUAGUGCACCUCUCUUGGUUUUCCGCCCCCACCCCCAUCUCCUCCUCGUCUUCACUUUCUCAUGUGAGCUUCCUGGGUUCACUACCUGCACCCACAUCCUCGUCUCAGGUUUUGCUCUGGGGGAGUCCAAACUGCAACAGGCCCCACUCUGACCCAGGAGCCACCCUUCAGGAACCCAUAGCUGGGUGAGGGCACACAGGGGUGCCAGUGCGAGACUUACUCUGACGAGGUGACCGAGCCUUGGGAGGUGGACCAGAGAGGGCAGGGGCACCUGUUAACUCUGCAUUCCUGAAGUUCUAGCCCUUCCCUUGGCCCUUAGAUCAGGGCAGGGCCAUCAGUUAAGGGGCCUCACCCCAUCUUGACCCGGGUGGGCACGUGGCCCAUGAUGAGGCAGAACUUGAGUCUUGGGUGGUGAUCCAGGGCCUGGGGAUGGUUACUGCCAAGCCCUCAGCGGAUGGGGGCCCUUCCUGAGGAGGAGACAUUGGGAUGGGUGUGUGGGGGAGGAGCUGCUGGCCAGGCCCUGGGAAGGGUUGUAUCAGGCCAAGGAGACCGCCUGAGCGAAGGCCAAAGGUGCGGUGAGCCCAGGAAGUAGGGGAGCGGGAGCGGGAACGGGGACGAGGGAGCUCACUGCAAGGGGGAGGGGAGGGGCUCGCCCAAGGCUGGGACAUCAGCAGGGCUGAAUCAGAAAGGCCCUGGGGACCCGUCAAGGAGUUGCCUAUGGUUGCUGUAAUAGCAAAUUGCCUCAAACAAAUGGGCUUAAGACAACACCAAUUUAUGACCUUACAGUUCUGCAGGUCUGAAGUCCACAGUGGAUUGGCAAGGCAGUGUUCCUUCUGGAAGCUCCAGAGGAGAUCAAUUCCCUUGCUUUUCCAGCUUCUAGAAGCCACCUGUGUUCUUUGACCCAUGGCCCCCUUUCAAUGUCAAGGCCAGCGACGCCCUGGAGUCUGACGCCACUCCUGCUGUCUUGCCUCCCUUUCCACACUGAAUAGAGCCUUGUGAUGACACUGGGCCCACCCAGAUAACCCAGGAUCGUCUCUCAUCUCAAGAUCCCUACUUUACUCACCUCUGCAAAAUCCCUUUGGCCAUGGAAGGCUGCUGCGUGGUCUCUGGCGUGAGUCAGGCAACCAGGUUGGCUACCACGACAAGAUGCAAAAUAACAGUGACGUAGACAUGGGGAGAUUUUAGUCGUUGCUCAACAAAUACAGUCUCUUCCUCACCAACGUGUAAGUUCCAGAGGUCAAGGAUGGUGCCUGCGUGGAAUCCCUGUGUGUCCCAGGAACACGCACCUGGUCAAUGAAUAAAUGAAUGAGCCAUGCAUGCUUGCAGGUGUUUGUGGAGUGUUUGUUACUGGGCACACUUGUUGCUGGGAUACACAGCUGAGCAAAACACAACCGGAUCCUCCUGCACAUUGCUUACAGGGAGACAAACUUUGCUCAUAUAAUCACUCCUGAACAAGCAGAAUCCAGUACACAGGUGGGCCCUGUGGAAGCACCGUCAAGGCCUUGCUGCAUGCCCUGUUAGGAGGAAGGCCCUGCCACCCCACACUGCCCCAAAGGAACACUUCCGGGAUAGUGCAAGCAUUCCUGGGAUCUUCCUGGGCCCACGGCGCUGGGACCCUGCCCCAGACUCCACUGCUCACAUUGUCACGAGCCGCAGCCCUCUCUGUGUGCCCACAACACCGGUUCUCAACUGGGCACAGCUCCUUCUCCUGGCUUUGCCUGGGCUGUGCUUUACACCUGAAGUGGAACCCCUGCCCUUCCAUCCUGCUCUCCUUCGAGGCCUGCAGAUGCCAUGUCCUCCACACCUGAGGAUUCUGGAGGCCGGCAGGGCUUCUGGACAAAUCUGAGCACUUGCACUCUGGAGGCCCUGCCACAGUGGCUACUGCCCACCACGGACGAUUCUGUAGACCCUGCUUAGAAGAGACUGGCCAUCCAGAACAGCUCUGCUCCCACCCGGAGACUCAAGACUCCGCUCAGGAGUUCAGACUGUCUGGCAGCAGCUGUGGACUGCAGGGGUGAUGGCCGUGGCUGGCACCUGAGGCUGCAGCUCUCAAGACCUUGGUCCGAAGGAUGGGGGCUUCCACUCCCAACUGUGAGCUCACUUGCUGGGAAACUUGCCACACCCAGUGUCUGGACAUCAGAUGAACUUGCAGCCUCUUCCUUCCUUUCCCUUUCCGGUAUUUUAUUGGUGGAGGGCCAUGGGCAUCAGACAUGUGGGUUUUGGGGAGGGAGGUAACGGCAGAGUGGGGUUGGUGAGUAUCAGCCCCUCCUGCGAGCUGUGGGUGCUGCUGUGUGUUAGACAUCCCUGCUAGCUCCCUGUCCCACAUGAGCCCCCGGGUCCUCACUGGGCACUGGCCUCAUUCUCUUCUGGGAUCUCCCAGGCCCUGCACACAGUAAGUGGGCAGCACACAGUCACGAUGGCCACUUUUAACCCCACCGCCUUGAUCAAGACCUGGAGAGCUGGGGCAUCAGAGCGGGGGUCGACAGACUCGGAGGCCAACUGGCCUGGGGUUGAGCUAUUGUUGCCGACAUGGAACCCGAUCCAGUGAUUAAUGGGUCCAGGAAAUGAUCCCUAGCUCAGCUGGCCAGUCCGGGCAGCCUGGCAGCACGGGCCCACGCG